CCUACGGGUGGCAGCAGUGGGGAAUAUUGGGCAAUGGAGGCAACUCUGACCCAGCAACGCCGCGUGAAUGAUGAAGGUUUUCGGAUUGUAAAGUUCUGUGGAGGGGGAUGAGCACAAGGACGGUACUCCAAUAGCAAGCACGGGCUAACAACGUGCCAGCGGCCGCGGUAUUACGUAGGUGGCAAGCGUUUUCCGGAUUGAGUGGGCGUAAGGGGUGUGUAGCGGGUUUAACAAGUCGGCUGUGUAAUCCGGGGGCUCAACCCCGGAGCUACCUCUAAAACUAUUAGACUAGGGUGCGGGAGGGGUAAGUGGAAUUCCUAGUGUAGCGGUGGAAUGCGUAGAUAUUAGGAGGAACAUCAGGGGCGAAGGCGACUUACUGGACGGUAACUGACGCUGAGGCGCGAAAGCGUGGGGAGCAAACAGGAUUAGAUACCCGGGUAGUC
rnacentral:rRNA from 1 species